AUGGCUAAAUUUUGGUGGAGCAGCUCGAUAGAUAAGCGAUCACUACAUUGGAUAUCAUGGAAGAAGCUAGCAACACCAAAGUGUAGGGGUGGCAUGGGAUUUCGAGACCUCCACCUCUUUAACUUGGCAUUAUUGGGGAAGCAAGGGUGGCGCCUCAUCACCAAUCCCAUCACCCAGUGUGCUAGAGUGCUCAAAGGAAAAUACUUCCUAGAUCCAGACUUCAUGCAAGCAACAACUCCAAGCUCUUCCUCGGCAACCUGGAGAGCCAUCAUUGUUGGUCGGGAAGCGUUGAAGACCGAACUUAUUAAGCGUGUUGGGGACAGAUCCACUAUCUCGAUUUGGAAUGAUCGAUGGAUCCCAUCUACAGAUACAAUGGUUCCUCUAGUUCGGCCUCCAGCCACCACUGUCUCGCUGGUCAGUGACCUAAUUGACACAGAUAACUGGACAUGGAAGAGGGAACUAGUUCAGGACACAUUCAUGCCUACAGAUGCAGGAGCCAUAUUAAACAUACCACUGUGA
rnacentral:rRNA from 1 species